AAGUCGUAACAAGGUAUCCGUAGGUGAACCUGCGGAUGGAUCAUUACCAAUUUAACUUAUUAUAAGUUUGAGUUACCCGAUCGCUUUGCGAGAGGUUACCCAACUUUUAAUGUAAAUGUUGAACUAGAUCAUAUUGGUGUGGGAUUGUUUGUGAAUAUUUUAUUCAUAGGCAAACCCCACGCUGAUACCCUUUUUCAAAUAUAUACAACUCCGUAUAUACUACCAAACAAAACAAAAAAUAUAUAUCUAAUAGGACUUAUAAACGAGCUGAGUGGGUAAAAUCCUCGGCUUUAAAAAUUUAUAACUAUUACAACUUUCAGCAAUGGAUCUCUAGGCUCUC
rnacentral:misc_RNA from 1 species